AUUGGCUUCUUGUAAGUGUAAAUUUCCCUAGUUUGUGUAAGAUAAUGUUAAUGUGCGGUGUUCACUGGUCGGCGUGGACUA